UGGUGAAAUAUUUAAUUUAUUGGUAAUCUAUUACUAUUUUCACUUUUUUAGGCUAUAAAAGGUUGGAUUUAAAUCAGGAUUAGAUACCCUGUUAUACCACUCUAAUAAAUUUUUGCUUGAUUAGUAAUCAGUUAUGUUCUUGAAACUUAAAGGAUUUGGCGGUACUCAAGUCUAGUUAGGGGAACCUGCUCUAUAAACGAUAUGCCACGUAUUAUCUUUCUUCCUUUUGUUUUUCGGUCUGUAUACCGCCAUUAUUAGGUGAUUUUGAUAAAUAUAUACUGAAAUAGGGGUACUCCUAAAAUAUUAGGUCAAGGUGCAGCUUAUAGGGAAGUUGAAGUGGGUUACAUUUUAAUUUAUAAGGUCGAAUAUUUUAUUUAUAGCAUUUUUGAAGAUGGACUUAAUUGUAAUUAUGUUUUAACAUGGCAUUAUGAUAUUAGCUCUAGGGUAUGUACACAUCGCCCGUCGCUCUCAUUAAUUAAAGU
rnacentral:rRNA from 1 species